rnacentral:lncRNA from 1 species
UUCAAAAUCUACAGCUGUACGAUCAGUUGGACUUGUUGUCUUAGCCAUCACAUCAGAUAAUUUUAUUAGUAAAUUUUUUUACUUGUUUUAAAUUUUUAUAUUUAGAAGCUUCAUAUAUUUAGGCUUGAGUCGGAAAAGAAGAUUUAGGGGCUAAAAAUUCAAUCUAACCAUCCAAUUAAUGGACAGGGGGUGUCUAUAGUUCUAUAUCAUCGAAUGAAAUGUGUAGAAAUAAUCUAUUCAAA